UUGGCAUUUGAAACUGUCACCAUGGAGACAAGCCUCAAAGAAUUUUGGAAAGAAGCUCUGUUCCAGAACUUCCUUUUUCUAAUUUUUCUCAUGUCUACAGAAGGAAAAUCUUAAAAUGAGAUUGUUCCGUCAGAGAUUUUGGUCACAGAGUGGAAAAGUGAAUCACAAGUGCCACUUGCAGUGAGCCGUUGUGGUUUGAUGAGAAGUGAGGCCCUUCUGUCCAUAGAUGUGACAUCUGUCAGCAUCGUCUGCAUCUGUUCUGAGGCUCAACGAGUCAGUGUUUUCAAAUGGAACAGUGGUGGUAGUAAUUCUAACAGCAGUCUACAUGCUUUGUACUCACUGAUGGUGUCAGACACUGAGCCGAACCCUGGACAGUUACCAGCAGUAUGGAAAUUGAGGACAACAGAAACUGCUGGAUGUGUGAGAGUGAUGGUCACACGGUGGAGGAAGCUGGGAUCAAGUGCAAGGCCACCUGCCUUCAUUCUUUCACUCAUAGAGGUUUCAGCUCACUAAAAACUGCUGCUGAGAACACACACUCUUGCUUAAAACACCCAUAAUGUUUUUCUUUAUCUUUUGAGAAUGUUACACAAAUAUACAAUGUAUUUUGGUUAUGUUAACUCCUACAUCCCAACAACAACAACAACAACAACAACAACAAAUACUGGACUCCCUUACCCUCAUGUCCCUAGACAUGUUUUUAAAUUAUAUUAUAUUUAUUUAUCUA